CGUUGCAAAAACGUUGCGAUGGCUUGUUCUUUAGAAGAUUGUUGUUCGCGUUUUCUGCUAUGAAAGGACCUGCGAAGGAACUUAGAUUAUCAUUUAUGUCAGUGAAAAGGAGUUAUUGUGGCUCUGGGUUUGGUGGAAAGAGGACAGUCCUAUAACUGCACACACACCACAUUUGUCAAAGAAUGUUGCCCAGUAACAAAGGAGAUGUGAUAAGUAGAAAAGGAAAAUCGACAAGUUAUAUUAGCACAAUGACUGUGUAUCAAAGGCAGUUCCAAUCAAUGGAGUUUGCUCUGCUUAAUCAUAAGAUUACUUGUCUUCAAAGAAACUUAAUAUUGGGUAAUAAGUAAGUAAGUAAGUAACUUUAUCACAACUCGGGUUGAUGAGGCUGAUUAGGCCCCUAGCAAUACAUUCAUGUUAAUAUGCUGAGAAAAGUAUAAAGAAUAUAAAAAAAAGUGAAACGUUGUGCUAUAUUUGGUGUGCCAACUGUAAUUGUGUUGCAAGAGGAGAUCAUGGUAGAUUUUGGUGCAUGAUAAUAAACAGUCUUGCUUGUGGGUUCUCAGCUGGUGAUCAGGUUCAUGACCAGUAAUUUGUUUUUGAUAUUUUAGGAGUGGUUAGUAAAGCUAUUGUAUUGUAUUGUAUAUGACUGUUACACUGAUUUUGUUUGGUCCUCCUUGCAUGAAAAGGCAAAAUCCUCUUGAAAAGGGGCAAUAAUUUAUUUCUGUUUUCCAUGGCUUUUAUGGAAAAGUAAAGGAUCAAAUUAAACACAUUACGCAAAUCAGUUCUGUUUCUUUCCUGAGCCAGUGUUAUUCAUGAUGUAAUCUAUUGCUGAACUGAAGAUGAGAAGAGGCAAGAAGAAAACUGGAAUGUUCAUCAGGUGUUUAUUGUUCUUCAACCAGUUAGACGGGGGAUCCAACUACAAGAGGAAGCCACUAACCAUAAAAUCUCAGAACAAACUAUAUUGGGCAAAAUCUGUGGCAGAAAGGACCUCUGAAGGGAAGUUGCACACAUCACUGGGCACUGAGCCAAGUUCUCAAAUAAACACUUUCAACAAUACCAUUACUGUCAUGAUUAUGAGAGGCUAAAUAUUUACUGAGCUCCUUUAUGGCUUCAGAUAUUUUACAUACAUACAGUCAGGUCUUCCUUUAAAUUUGUCCUUUGUGCUCUUGUGAAUAUUAGCAGUAUAGAGGAAAUUUGAUUGAGACUCAAGAAAAUCAAAGAGUAGUCUUGGAGAAUAGUACUUGUUUGAUAAAACUGAAUAUAUCUUGUAACCUUCAAAGGUUACUAGUGUAGCGGAGAAGACAAUCCGAAUGCACAAUAUAAAUCACGGUUUAAUCAAACGAAGUACGUAAUCAAAAUUACAAACGAAAAUAAGGAGAUCGGUGUGAAAUCACAGAUGAAGAGGGAGAAGUAGGAUUGAAGAUAGCGUAGUAAUGAUUGAUGGUAACGUUGUAGCUGAAUUUGUGUGGUUUGAACUAAAAGAAAAUGCAGUAGAAACUAAACUAAGAAAAUAUCCCUGAGAAAUGUAACACUAGCCUAAUUAACAAUGAGGCAAUUAUAAAGUGAACUGAAAGUGAGAAAUAAAUCAAUGUACGUAUCCAAAAAAAAAUAAAAA